rnacentral:tRNA from 1 species
GUUACUUUGGCAGAUUAGUGCAAUUGAUUUAGAAUCAUUUUAUGUAAAUUUUUACAGGUAAUA